rnacentral:tRNA from 1 species
GAAUAAAUCGCUGUUUUUUAAUAAUUAUUACAACCUUGCCAAGGUUGGGGUCGCGAGUUCGAGUCUCGUUUCCCGCUCCA